UUUGCAUUUUUCAAAAAACUUUGUAGUCUCAACGAUGAUGCAUACAUGUCAACUAUGGGUGUUGGGUCCAACAAUUCGCAUUGGUCUCAAACCAAUGACAUCAAUUUCGAAGACCAUGAGUUUGAGGUGGAUGAGGAGGGUGAGGGCAUUGUCGACGCGCCGAAAGGAAGAGCAGGCAAUUACAGCACCAACGAUGACAAGUUAUUAUGCAAUACUUAUUUGCAAGUGUCGAGGGAUCCAUCCGUUGGAGGUGAUCAAAGUAGAGAUGCGUAUUGGGGGCGAAUGAAAGAACACUUUGAUGCUCACAACGUGAGUGGAAUUGACCGCUCCGAGAGAUCACUUCAGCCCCGAUGGUCGACAAUCAACUCGGAUUGUCAAAAGUGGGCGGCCGCACAAAAGGCAGUUGAUAAGAUUAACCCAAGUGGCAUAAAUGAGGAUGAUAGAGUAAGUUGCAUCUCAUAUAUGUUCAUCAUACUUGUUUUUGGUGUCUGA
rnacentral:rRNA from 1 species